AGAAACACUGACACCAAAGAAGUUGCUUAUUCUAGCUCUUCAAGAAGCUGAGAGAAAUGGAAAUAGCAUAUAUAUUAUCUGCCUUAUCCGUGUGGAGGAUUCAGAGGAUGAGGACCAUACUUCUCAGGUGGCUAAGCGUUGAUGCUUUUUGAUCAGGUGGCUAAGCAUUGAUGCUCACUGCAGGUUUCAACUGAAUCACUUUGGUUUACUCCAAAAGAGAGGUACU